GAUGAAGAACGCAGCGAAAUGCGAUAAGUAAUGCGAAUUGCAGAAUUCAGUGAGUCAUCGAAUCUUUGAACGCACAUUGCGCCCCUUGGCAUUCCGAGGGGCAUGCCUGUUCGAGCGUCAUUAUAACCCCUCAAGCUCAGCUUGGUGUUGGGGCCUGCCGCACGGGCAGCCCUUAAAAUCAGUGGCGGUGCCAUCUGGCUCUAAGCGUAGUAAUUCUUCUCGCUAUAGAGUCCCGGUGGAUGCUUGCCAUUAACCCCCAAUUUUCUAUGGUUGACCUCGGAUCAGGUAGGGAUACCCGCUGAACUUAAGCAUAUCAAUAAGCGGAGGA
rnacentral:misc_RNA from 1 species